ACCUACGGGGGGCAGCAGUCGAGAAUUUUUCACAAUGGGCGCAAGCCUGAUGGAGCGACGCCGCGUGGGGGAUGAAGGGCUUCGGUCCGUAAACCCCUGUCAUUUGCGAACAAACCUUGUUAUUUAAAAGAUGACGAGCUGAUGGUAGCGAAAGAGGAAGGGACGGCUAACUCUGUGCCAGCAGCCGCGGUAAUACAGAGGUCCCGAGCGUUGUUCGGAUUCACUGGGCGUAAAGGGUGCGUAGGUGGUGAGGUAAGUCGGAUGUGAAAUACUGGAGCUCAACUCCGGAACGGCAUUGGAAACUACCUUGCUAGAGGAUUGGAGGGGGGACUGGAAUUCUCGGUGUAGCAGUGAAAUGCGUAGAGAUCGAGAGGAACACCAGUGGCGAAGGCGAGUCCCUGGACAAUACCUGACGCUGAGGCACGAAAGCUAGGGGAGCAAACAGGAUUAGAUACCCCGGUAGC
rnacentral:rRNA from 1 species